rnacentral:snoRNA from 14 species
CCUUCCUUGAUGAUUAGCUUCUGACUUUCGUUCUUCUGAAUUUGCUGAAGCCAGAUGCCAUUCCUGAGAAGG